UACGUAGGGUGCAAGCGUUGUCCGGAAUUAUUGGGCGUAAAGAGCUCGUAGGCGGUUUGUCGCGUCGGCUGUGAAAACCCGGGGCUCAACCCCGGGCCUGCAGCCGAUACGGGCAAGCUAGAGUUCGGUAGGGGAGACUGGAAUUCCUGGUGUAGCGGUGAAAUGCGCAGAUAUCAGGAGGAACACCGGUGGCGAAGGCGGGUCUCUGGGCCGAUACUGACGCUGAGGAGCGAAAGCGUGGGGAGCAAACAGG
rnacentral:rRNA from 1 species